GACGAACGCUGGCGGCGUGCUUAACACAUGCAAGUCGAACGGAAAGGCCCUGCUUUUGUGGGGUGCUCGAGUGGCGAACGGGUGAGUAACACGUGAGUAACCUGCCCUUGACUUUGGGAUAACUUCAGGAAACUGGGGCUAAUACCGGAUAGGAGCUCCUGCUGCAUGGUGGGGGUUGGAAAGUUUCGGCGGUUGGGGAUGGACUCGCGGCUUAUCAGCUUGUUGGUGGGGUAGUGGCUUACCAAGGCUUUGACGGGUAGCCGGCCUGAGAGGGUGACCGGCCACAUUGGGACUGAGAUACGGCCCAGACUCCGACGGGAGGCAGCAGUGGGGAAUAUUGCACAAUGGGCGGAGGCCUGAUGCAGCAACGCCGCGUGCUGGAUGACGGCCUUCGGGUUGUAAACCGCUUUCGCCUGUGACGAAGCGUGAGUGACGGUAAUGGGUAAAGAAGCACCGGCUAACUACGUG
rnacentral:rRNA from 1 species